UGAGGUGAGCUAAACUAAAUC
rnacentral:piRNA from 1 species